GUAGGGUGCGUGUUGGGGUUAUGGGAUUGGCCCCAGGGCCGGGGUGGGAGCUGUGGGGCAACGCGUGGGAGCCGUGGGGCAGCUCCAGCACCUGCCCCCCAACCUGCCUCUGCCCCCCAGGCUGGCCCAGCACAUCACCUACGUGCACCAGCACAGCCGGCAGCCACCCUGCUCCUUCCAGCAGCUCGACAUGAAGCUCAUGAGGCGCUACAUCGCCAUGUGCAAGCGGAAGCAGCCGGCGGUGCCCGAGGCUUUGGCCGACUACAUCACGGCCGCCUACGUGGAGAUGCGCAAGGAGGCCUGGGCCAACAAGGACACCACCUACACCUCCGCCCGCACCUUGCUGGGCAUCCUGCGCCUGGCCACCGCCCUGGUGAGCCCCCGCCGCCGCCGCCACCGCCGCCCGGAGAGGGGGGUGAACCGAGGCGCGAGCGGCCCGGAGCGAGAGCCGGACGGACCUACGGAGUGGGACGGAGGUGGCGCCAAGCCCGGCAAGACCAGGCUGCGGUGAAGCGAGGUGGAAACGGGCAGGAUGAGUCCAGGCGGAGUAGGGAGGGAGGCCGUGGUGCCACGGAGCUGCAGCGGCCGUCGGGCCACCGGGCCGCAUCCGUGUCCCCCCCCCCCACCUCCCUCGACGAGCCCCGGGGGCCCCAAAGUGCUGUUUGUGCAGGUAGUGUGUGUGCGGCGUCUACUGCCGAGGCAGCACUCCAGAGCCCCCGGGGCACGGCCGGCACCGGGACGGCUCCCGGCAUCCCGUCCGGGGACGCAGCCAGCACCAGCACGGCUCCCGGCAUCCCUCGGCGUCCCCUGUCCCGUCCAGGGACGCGGCCGGCACCGGGACGGCUCCUGGCAUCCCUCGGCGUCCCCCGUCCCAUCCGGGGACGCAGCUGGCACCAGGACAGCUCCUGGCAUCCCAUCCAGGGACGGGGACGGCUCCCGGCGUCCCUUCUGGGGACGUGGCCAGCGCUGGCACGGCUCCCAGCAUCCCUUCCGGAGGAACGGCCGGCACUGGGACGGCUCCUGGCAUCCCAUCUGGGGAUGCAGCUGG
rnacentral:lncRNA from 1 species